rnacentral:lncRNA from 1 species
GUAAUAUUGAGUGUUGCUUUGCUUUCUUUUCUUUUAGGCAUAUGGUCAUUUUCAUCAAAUGAAGAUGCUUAUUUUAAGAACAAGUUAGGUCAUCUAGGACAUUACAACUUGCUCGUGUAUUUCAAAGACAUAGACAUGGUAAAUUUUUAAAAAAAGAAACAUAGAAUCAAAAGAACUUGGAUGAAUACUUAAAAGAUCCGACUGACCUCAACAAACUGGCUGAGAUGCUGGUUGGAACCAGAAAAAUACCAAACGCUAGCUAGUACUUGCAGGAAGAGAAAUAGUACAGGCAUUGAGUUCACGGGCUGCUGCAACAAUAGCUGUAAAAGCGACCAAUAAUAUACGUAACUCAAGCCAAUCACAUAUGCAGAAUCCUUAAAACAUAAACCCCAAGCCUUUCUUUGGACAUCAUCCACAGAACGCGUACGAUUUGGGAAAGGUAUAUACCGUGGCACAGCAACAAGAAUAACCGUUGAACAGAAACCUAGAACUGCAUAAAUUAUUUGCGCCAUUAAAGUAGCAUCAUAACUACCUGUACUGAACGCAACAUCUUGUCUCGUAUUCGAUCUCAACAACUCCAUCAAACUCUUAAAAUUGUUCAACAUAACUUGUUGAUCAUCACUGUAGUUUGGAACGUUAAGGAUAGCAUAGUAAUUCGGCUGUCCGUUAAUGCUCUCAGGGAGCAUUAAUAUAUCAGUGAUCGCGAUUAUUUCUAGUACCUCAGAGUGAUUUGGAUCGAUUUCUCUGGCUCUAAUGGCGUAUUGACGACAUUCUUGAAACUUUCGUAGAACAAGAAAGCUUUUAGAUAAAUUCAAAUAAUGUUGGAACUGCGGAUUCAUGAUUAUUGUUUGUUUGUUUUUGUUGUAUAGAGUUUGUUUGUUGUUUUGCUGUAGUAAAGAAUGAAAUGAAAAUAAUGAAAAGGUGGCAUAUAUAAAGGUGUUUGUUUGAAAAGGUGGGGAAAAAAGACACAAUUGGAAAUUUUUGAAUUUUUUUGUCAUGGAUAAUUUUGCAUAUGGGCAAAAUUGAAAAUUUCUUAAUUUUUUUUUGUUUCAUGGAUGAUUUUGGAUAUGGGCAAAAUUUAAAAAUAAAUAUUUUUUUGUUUUAUGAGUGAUUUUGAAUAUGGAUAAAAUUGGAAAUUUGUUGAUUUCUGUAAAGGGUUUAUUUUGUAUUUCUAUUGUUUUAUUUUAUUUGGUUCUAUUAACCUAGCACGUUUCGAAAAAUAAUACUAAUAAUUAGAGGUGAAAAAGCGACAAAAUUGGAAAAAUAUUGGCUUUUUAGUUUUAUGGAUGAUUUUGGAUCGAUAUGGACAAAAUUGGAAUUUUUUUAUCGUUAUAAAGGGUUUAUUUUGUAUUUCCGUUGUUUCAUUUUACUAGUUUAUGUUAACCUAGCACGCCUCAUAAGAUAUUGAUAAUUAGAGGUGUAUUUUAUUAAACUAACAUUAUUAAUUAUGCUGUUACUCUAAUUUUAUUUCUACUACUACUUCAUGUAAUUAUUUAGUACUAAUAAAAAUAACACUACAAUUUCCUUUGUCGGAUAUAGAAGUGCUUGCAGAGCUACGUGAAUUCAACAAUGUUUUUGUAAAGGGCAAAAAGAAAGGUCUCGAGAUAAUAAGGAUCCUUGGAAGAAAAGAUCAAAUAACUAAUCUCAGUAAGCUAUUCUACAUUUUGAAAUAAUUCUUUUUGAAAUAUAUGUACAAGAUUAAAUUGGAAAUUGAAUAAAUUUUUCAAGGGUCUAUUUUGGAAUACUCAUAUUAACAUUUUGAGAUGGUCAAUUUUGGACAUUAAGUAAUUGGGAAAUGAGAAUGGAUUAUUUAGAUAACGGCAUAUUUAUUUGGUGUAUAAAUAAAAUUAAAUUGGAAAUUCAAUAAAUCAUUUAUCAACUAAUAAAAGAUUAGUUUGACUAUAAAAAAGAGAUAAAUUGGAAUACUUAUUUUUACAUUUUGAGAUUGUUAACAUUGGAUAUUAAGUAAUGGGAAAUGAGAAUGGAUUAUUUAGAUAAGGGCAUGUUUAUUUGGUGUAUAAAUAAAAUUAAAUUGGAAAUUCAAUAAAUCAUUUAUUAUUUAUCAACUAAUGAAGAAUUAGUUUGAUUACUAUAAAAUGAAGCUAAAUUAGAGUACUUAUUUUUACACUUUGGAAUGUUCAAAUUUGGACAUUAAGUAAUUGUAAAUGGAUUAUUUAGUUAAGGAGAUAUAUUUAUUUUGUAUAUAUAUAAAAUUAAAUUGGAAAUUCAGUAAAUCAUUUUUCAUUUAUCACUUAUCAAUUAAUAAGGGAUUAGGUUGAUUAUUGUAAAAAAAAAAAAAAAAAAAAAAAAAAAAAAAAAAAAAAAAAUUUUGAGAUAAAUUGAAGUACUUAUUUACAUUUUGAGAUGUUUUAAAUUCGAACAUUAAGUAGUAAUUGGGAACGAAUUAUUCAGAUAAGGACAUAUUUAUUUUGUGGAAAUAUAAAAUUUAAUUGGAAAUUUGAUAAAUCAUUUUUCAUUUAUCAUUAAUCAACUAAUAAAGGAUUAGUUUGAUUACUGUAAAGGGAGAUAAAUUGAAGUACUUAUUUUACAUUUUGAGGUGUUUUAAAUUUGAACAUUAGUAAUUGAAAAUGAAUUUUUUUAAAUAAGGACAUAUAUUUAUUUUGUGUAUAUAUAAAAUUAAAUUGGAAAUUCAAUAAAUAAUUUUUUCCUUUAUUAUUUAUCAACUAAUAAAGGAUUAGUUUGACUAUUUUAAAAGGAGAUUGAAAGAAUUUUGACUCAAAUUUUAUUAUGUAUCUUCAUCAUAUUAACGUAAGAAAAAUUACAAUCUAUAAUAUUUUUUGUCUUGUAGUCAAACAUCUAAAUUUUAAAUUAAACAUACUAAAUUAAUCUACUCUAAUUUAGCUUGAACUUUAAUCAAAUUGAUUUUCAUAAAGUAAAAUAUGACAAGAAAAAUUAAACGGGAUGAGUUUUUUUAACAUUUCGAGAUGUUUCAAAUAUGAAAAUACUUUUUUUCUUUUGAAAUUUAAAAGUUUAGUAUUAUUGUCAUUGAUUUCGUUCUUUUUUAUUGGUUCAGUGUGUAUUUUGUAAUUUCUUUAAGAAAGUAUUAAUUAUGUAUUUUUUUUAUUAAAUUUUGCAAAACUGUUGUAUUUUGAAGAUCUUAAUUUGAGUAUUAAUAUUUCAAAAAGUUUGAAAAUAAUGCUUAAAGAUAAGAUGUUUUUUGAAAAUUUAAAACUAUUAUGAAGUAGUAGUUCUUCAAAAUAAAUGUACAUUUCGAAAUAAUUGUACUAUUUUUGUCAUGAAUUUCUAAACCAAGGCUUAUUUUAAGAUAAAUUAACUUUUUUUCUAUAACGACACUUACUUUAAGACGGAGAGGAUGCAUAAUAAAGAAGAGAACAUUAUUUGCUAAAUUCUGCUAUAAAAAAUAUGGAAGUUUCACAUAAUUCAUUUAAACAUUACAUGGUAUAUCAAACACAUUACUGAAGUACCAAUGCAAUGGAAAUGUUUUACAAAAUUUAGUUUAAGAUAAUUAAUGUAAAAUCCAGCUAAUUUUAAGUAAAUAACUAUGAGAGUAAACAUGGUAGCUCACCAAAGUGUUAAAAGGCUAAGUUGGUCGUACUCUUUAAAAAUGUUGUCGCGCUCGUAUCAAAUUCUUCAAAUACACUAUUAGAUAGAUUGUUUUUGAUAUACACUUAAUUUAUCUCUUGUAUCUUUUUGCAAAAUCUCAACAAUAAUUAAUCAAAAACAGUUUAUCUUCAUCAUGAUAUUAAGUUAAAAGUGGAGCUAUAUAUAUACUCUUUUACUAAUUCAAGUCCAAUAAUCACUUUAGUUUAGUUUGAUGCAUUGACUUAGUAAUAAUAUUUAGACUUAUUAGGUGUUUAUAUCAUCAAUAUUUAAUCUCAUAAAAAUAAUAAUUUACCUAUUAUUACAAAUUAAAAGUCACUAUAUAUAGUGUAAGAAUUUUUUUUUAUGUUGUCGGUAUCAUCACUUGAAAAAUAUUAUUUUUAGUUCAGCUAGAUUCUAAAACUAGUAGUAAUUUCUAGUAAUUAUAUUCCUUGAAGUCCUAAUUAUUUUACGAUAGCUCUAUUAUUAAGACUUUCUUUUUGAUGAGUUUACGAGUUAUUACUCAUAAAUGAAAGUAUUUAAUAUGCUCAUUUUUUUCUCAUAUUUUUGGUUCUUGAUUAGACUGCUAUAAUUUUUGUUGUAUAAUACUCGUUAUUUCGCAUUGUUUUGUUGUUGUUAUUGCUCUCAUAUUGUAUUCCGGUUUGCAAAUUAUUUGGUAGGCUUUAUUUAACUAAGGAUGUAUUGGAAAUUGUUUUUCUAUCUCUAUGAAGUAUGGGUAAGAUCUAUGCAUACUAUAUCUUCACCAUACUUCACUUGUAGAAUUACACAAAGGUAUUUUUAAUCAAUGCGUGACAAUUGAAUAACAUGCUAUUAUUGACUCAUAAAUAUUGAAAAAUAUAGUAACAUCCACUGCACACAUAAAAUCAAAGAAACAAUAGCAUGCACGAUAUGGUGAAGUUGAACUAGUGAUUAUUUUAUCAACGUGUUAAUUUAUCAAUUUGAAUUAUAUCUCAUCGACUAUUUAAAUAAUGGCUUGUAAUUAUGAUAAUCCAAGAUACGGAGUAGAUGUGUUAGGUUUUUAAGAGGUGUGAAUGAAAAAUGGAUAGAUAUUUUUUUGAAAAAAACAUCAAGAAAAAAGUUGUAAUUUGAAUAGGCACAUAUGUUCACUUUGAAUUGUUAUGACCUUUCCGAUAAAUUAUGACUUUUUCGAAAAGUUACACUCUUCUAGAAGGAUUGCAACUUCACGAAGAGUUGUAUCUUUUCGAAAAGGUGUGCCUUUUUGAACCAGAAGUUGAACUAAUGAAACCACAUGCACGAUAGAGUGAAGUUGAACUAAUGAUCUGUUUAUUCAACGUGUUAAUAUAACAAUUUGAACUAUGUCUCAACGGCCAAUUAAAUAAUGCUUUGUAAUUAUGAAAAUCCAAGAUAGAAAUGUUGGGUGUUUAAGGGGUUUGAAUGGAGAAUGAAUAGGUAUUUUUCCAAAAAGACACAGAGAAAUAAUGAAAUUUGCAUAGGCACUUGUUCACUUUGGAUUAUUGUGACCUUUUCAAAAGAUUGUAACUUUUCUGAAGAAUUGCAUCUUUACAAAGAGUUGCAUCUUUUCAAAGAGGUGCACCUUUCCGAAUCAUUGUUACUUUUCUGAAACAACAAAUUGAUGGCUAUACAUAUAUAUACACUUUUUGGAUGAUUGUGACUUUUUCGAAAAGUUACACCUUCAUGAAGAGUUGCAUCGUUUCAAAGAGGUGCACUUUUUUGAACAAUCGCUUCUCUCUGAAGCAACACCUUUGCUGGCUGCAUAUACCUAUUGAAUCCUCAAAUUUUCCAUACAAAUGUUCCAAUCGUGUUGUGUGAUUUACUACCGCUGAUUGAGUUCGUUGUUCAUGGCCCUAUUCUUCUAGCAAUGUCCUAGUCUUCGUUUCUCUAAGAAAAGAAAGGAAAAUGUUCUAUUUAUAGGCCAAACUAGAUAUUUUACGUCCACGUAAUUGUUAAAAAAAUGGAAAUUUAUGUUUGCCAAAGUUAAGUACGAACAAAUUGAGCAGUUGCAUUCAUAUCAUCACAUUUUGAGUCGAGGGUCUAUCGGAAACCUCAUUACUAAAAGUGUAAAGGUAAUCGUACAUUUUACCCUCCCCGGAAGUUCAACUUCUGGGAUAACACUGGUCCUGUUGUUGUUGUUAUUCAUAUAAUCACUUUCUGUAUUCCCAAAUUGAGUAUGAACAAAUCUACAUUAUGUAUCCAAUCCAAGUUGAUAAAAAGGGCAAAAGAACAAAAGGAACACAGCAUUUUAAAAGAGCCUCUAGAAGUUAGAAGGGAUGUUCGACAGAUUUAAACUGACACAUACAUUAUAUUCAAGCGAAAAUCGCAAGAAAAUAGAUUUGAACUAAUAACUAAAAAUCUACAGCUCAAUGUUCUCGCUUUUCCCAGUCAACCAUUUUGGCCGCUGAACAGAAAAAAUUAAUCGUUUACUGUCAAAAAUGUUUUGCUUGAAGUGUGAAAGACUACAGUGAAAGCGAGCUUUUUGCGUAGCAUGCUUUAUUCUGAUCCACAACUUCCUCAGAAUGUAUAAAUCACCUUAAAGACUAAAGCAACUAGCAUACCUCGCGAUGGAGAAAUACUUGGAUCGGGUUAGCUGACUAUGUCUGUAUGACUCUGCAACUUCUCUCGGUAUACCAAGACCAGACAGAUAUAGAACAUAGUCGCAGACACAAUAGAUACACCAAGGCAGACACAAACGGUUGUAGCACAAACGUAUAAGAACCUGAACAAAGAAUGACACACUCUUAAUAAAGCAAAACAUAUACACAUGAAUCCUGAUUCAACUUUUUGGUGACACUUACUUGGGAGAAAAUACGCUCCAAACGAAUAAAUGAUUUCUCAUUAGCAGCAACACAAUUGUGUAAGCUACCAAAAGAAUGGAAUUCAAACCCAACGGAACCAGACAAGGAAAACCAAGUGUCCUCUUGAGCAACGAGUCAAUGUUGCCGUCCUGGGAAAUUAUGAAACCACUUGUGUCCUUCACAGAAUUGUACAUCACCAUGCUAAGGAGGUAUAACAUUGGUGAAGCAUAUGUAAUGAUGAACAUUAAGACGCCAGAAAGUACAGUUGAGUGGUUCAAGACACCCUGGCAAUCAAAUCAACGGGGAACAUCAGAUUCUAUAUGGAUAUUUCCAGUAUGAAGCAUACAGAAACUUUAGCAUGAAACACACUACUAGAGAUUUUUGUGCAAGAGACUUACAAUAAAAGCCCCAGCAACAUCGAUUGUAGCUAGGGUGUUGGUGUUACCGAGACCAAAAUGGCCUGCCAUUCCCAUAUAAUAAAGUGCAGCUACCUGACACGGGAAAAGGAGAAAAAUAAGACUUGUGAAACUAUGGAGUUGAUGUUACCAUCAUCUGAGGAAAGGAUAUUUUUCCUGCAUUAGUACAAAAACAAACCGAGAAAGAACGAGCACCCAAGGGUGUGGCCUAGUGGACUCGUGGGAGGUGGCAGGUAUCUAGUGAAUUUAGUCGAGGUGCACAAAAGCUGGUCCGGAAACCAUGGAUUUCAAAAAACAAAUUGAGGAUGAAUGAAGAUAUUAGUUGAAUUUCGUAGUAUGGAGACUACAAGCAUCAUCGUGGUCAUUUUCAUCAAAUGAAAUUUGCCGCCUUCUUUUCUCUCCUUUUUUUUUCCUUUUGGGAAAUAUUUUAUUUGGUAAUAUUGAGUGUUGCUUUGCUUUCUUUUCUUUUAGGCAUAUGGUCAUUUUCAUCAAAUGAAGAUGCUUAUUUUAAGAACAAGUUAGGUCAUCUAGGACAUUACAACUUGCUCGUGUAUUUCAAAGACAUAGACAUGGUAAAUUUUUAAAAAAAGAAACAUAGAAUCAAAAGAACUUGGAUGAAUACUUAAAAGAUCCGACUGACCUCAACAAACUGGCUGAGAUGCUGGUUGGAACCAGAAAAAUACCAAACGCUAGCUAGUACUUGCAGGAAGAGAAAUAGUACAGGCAUUGAGUUCACGGGCUGCUGCAACAAUAGCUGUAAAAGCGACCAAUAAUAUACGUAACUCAAGCCAAUCACAUAUGCAGAAUCCUUAAAACAUAAACCCCAAGCCUUUCUUUGGACAUCAUCCACAGAAUGCGUACGAUUUGGGAAAGGUAUAUACCGUGGCACAGCAACAAGAAUAGCCGUUGAACAGAAACCUAGAACUGCAUAAAUUAUUUGCGCCAUUAAAGUAGCAUCAUAACUACCUGUACUGAACGCAACAUCUUGAUAUUUAGUGAUAUAAUGUAAAACCAACCACCCU